rnacentral:lncRNA from 1 species
CAAGUGAAAGGGAUAAUGAACACGACCCUAAGUGAAAGUGCAAGUGACACUUGGAGCACUUCCAUACUAAGAUGCGUAUGCUAUGCUAUUACAAUGUUUGAUGGUGAACUUGGAAUUGCUAAAGAAGCAUUUUCCCAAGCCACUUAACUUUCAAAAAAAAAAUAAUUAACUACAAAGAUUUUGUGAUAGUAAGCCAAAUUUACAAGUAAAAUGUGUACAAAAAUUGCCAAAACCAAAUGUGGUUGUUGUGUCACCAAGUGCUUGUCCAAAAUGAUGAUCAAAAUGUGUGGUAAAGUUGCUGAAACAGCUGCUAAACUUGGUGUUGGAACAACUGUUUUUAGGUGCUCACAAAGUCCAAACUUGUAGCACUUUAACAAGUUUUCCACUCCUUAAGAUGCUACCCCUUUGGAGAAGCAAUUUGGGCUUGAAUUUCACCACCUCUUUGCAGCAGGCCAACAAACCAGAAACACUGAGUUAACACACACUUACGCGUUGCACCAGAUUUUGCAGAAAAAUAGCAUGACAGCAGAGUGGAAAAGCAAUGAAAAAUGAUUUCUAAUGAACUUGGGCUAGAAACAAAUGAUGGCACACAAAAGGAACUUAAGAAAAGGUCUAGAAAAAAAUUAGAAAAUCAAGAAAAACUCAAAAGCAGUGAAGGAAUUGAGUGUGUUGAAACUGUUUAAUGAAAAUGCCAAACUGUUUGAUGAAAUGCCACAAUGAAAUGCAAUUUUAGUGUUUUAUGGCUUUGACUACUGAAACUGGAUUGCAGGGGUAUCUAUGCUUUUUAUUUUGGAUUUAUACUUGUUUAAGCCUUGGAAGUUAACUGCAAACGAAUUCCCCCAGCUUUUGCCAAUCCAAAGUACAAUUUGAAAAUGGAAAUUGUGGAAACAGCACACAAUAAAACUGCAGCAGUAAAAAUUAGCUGGAAAAUGGGAAUUGCCAUGUUCAAACUGAGUGCUAUUGUGGUUAAUGCUCAAUUGAUAAUUCCAGCAAGUUUAAAUCAUCAUUUGCAAUGUGUGGAAUUAAUGAAACAACCAAGACACAGUCCAGAUCAAUAUUUCACUGGUUCAUUACCCAAAAUUGGUGUUUUGGAUGACAUGUUUUCGGGUAGGUGCCUAAAUGAUCAUAUGCACAGUCACCAAAGGUUUUAAUUGACUAAAUUUAGUUUUUGAACCAAGGAAAUUGCACAGGCGGUCACGGAAUAUCAGAAACAGUUUAUCAGUUGCCAAAAUGCAAAGAAAAGAAUGCUCUAAAACUGCACUGAAAAUGAAAAAUCAAGGAAUUGUAGUGGUCAUCAUAAAUGGUAGUGUUCUUAAGGCUCAACUGAGGCUUCAAGCAAGUUUAUAUCAUGUAAUUGGACAUGUGUAAACACUUAAGUAGCAAAGAAAGUGACCACAUCAGAAUUUCACUGGUGCACUUCCAAAAAUCAACAAAAUGUGAUGCUUUCAAAUGUGAUUUUGCACAAAAGCUGGAAAUAUACCAAAUGAACAGUGCACACACCUUCUAAAUGGUCAAAUGAACUUGCUCAAACUUUCAAACUGGACCAAAACACAGAGAAUGCGAAAAAGAGUUGUUCACUUGCAAAAAUGCACUAGAAUGUGGUGUUUUGGCUCAAGUGUUUCGGCUAAAUGCACCCAAUGACCAUAUCAACAGUAGAAGCAACUUUCAAUGCACCAAAAAUCAAGCAAACAGCACCAAUACAUUCAAAAUCUCAAAAUGACUUGGUUUCAAAGAUGACUUUGCACAUUAGCUGGAAAAAGACCAAAGAAACAGUAUGCACAAGUUUUAAAUGGUCAAAAACACUUAUGAAAAUGUUUACUCAAGACUGAAAUGUACAAAUUCUCAAAAUCACCUUUUGAGUUGCUUAAAAUGCAGCAAAAUUUAGCUGAAAACUCAUGCAGAAUUGGUAAUACACUGGAUGCAAAGUUGGUUGGAUCAAUUAAACCAUAAGAAAGUCCUAAAUGACUAGAUCUAGUUCCAGAUUAUGAACUAGCAGAUAUAUUGAAUGUCCUAGGAUGCACAAAGAUAGCAAGCACAGUGCAAAACUUUCAUAAAACAGUAAUAGUAUUUGGAAAAUUCUGACAGCAGUGUUUCAUUGAAUUAUGAAUCAACUUAAGCAUGCUUUUUGAAAUCAAUGGUGAAUCUUAGUUGAUACCACUUGAAACAUGUCUAAAAUCGUGAAACAAACAUGUAUAACCAAGAAAGAACACAAACUUUAUCCAGAAACAGUUGGCAGCAUGCCAAACCAGAAACGACACUUUGAUGCAGAGUUGGAAAGCAGAUUUGCUACUGGAAAACUGUGUACAAUGCUUGAUAGCUCAAAUGAUCAAAGCUGACUUGGUGUCAUUGCUUUAUAGAUCAACAUAUAGCUAGCAAGUGCACUGAAUUCAAUGAAAAAAGAAAAAGAAUAGAGCUGAACAGAAUCAAACACUAUGACAGAUUAAAACUGCAACAGUUUUUGCACAUUACCGUGACAAUACUGGAACAUGAAAGUGAAAGCUGAAUUUGACUCAAACAAACCAAAUGCACCGAUUAAAAUGUUAAAGAAACUCUAAGGAACAGUGAACGAACAUAAUGAUUCACUCAAACACGAAAUCAAAAAUCAAAAAGCAAUGGAACAGUGAAUUUUAAAUAGAAUAACACGGAUAGAGUUGCAAAACGAAUAAAAAGAUGACUUAUCUCAUGUAGAACCGCGAGGACGUGAUGCCAAUUGAUAGAAUCGUGUCCAAUCUUCAAGAGGACAUGACUUCCACAGAUCAAAAGUUGUAGCGGAUGAAAUGAAUAGAUGAACUGGUGAAUGCACGGUAAGUGUUUAACAGAAUGGCUGAACGUGUUUGGUCAUGGUAUGGGUGUGAAGUUUUAGCUUAGGAAGAUUUCCAUCGAGGAAAGAAGCUAGAGAAAGACUCAAGCUAAAGAGAUGAAGUGUUGAACUUGAAAGAAGUGACUGAAAUUUGGCAGCGUUUCACUAUUACAAUCAAGUUGGUUUUUAC